AACUCUGGUAUUGAUUGGUGCUUGCAUCAUGAUUUACAUUUGAGUGAGUGGCGAACUGGUGAGUAACACGUGGGAAACCUGCCCAGAAGCGGGGGAUAACACCUGGAAACAGAUGCUAAUACCGCAUAACAACUUGGACCGCAUGGUCCGAGCUUGAAAGAUGGCUUCGGCUAUCACUUUUGGAUGGUCCCGCGGCGUAUUAGCUAGAUGGUGGGGUAACGGCUCACCAUGGCAAUGAUACGUAGCCGACCUGAGAGGGUAAUCGGCCACAUUGGGACUGAGACACGGCCCAAACUCCUACGGGAGGCAGCAGUAGGGAAUCUUCCACAAUGGACGAAAGUCUGAUGGAGCAACGCCGCGUGAGUGAAGAAGGGUUUCGGCUCGUAAAACUCUGUUGUUAAAGAAGAACAUAUCUGAGAGUAACUGUUCAGGUAUUGACGGUAUUUAACCAGAAAGCCACGGCUAACUACGUGCCAGCAGCCGCGGUAAUACGUAGGUGGCAAGCGUUGUCCGGAUUUAUUGGGCGUAAAGCGAGCGCAGGCGGUUUUUUAAGUCUGAUGUGAAAGCCUUCGGCUCAACCGAAGAAGUGCAUCGGAAACUGGGAAACUUGAGUGCAGAAGAGGACAGUGGAACUCCAUGUGUAGCGGUGAAAUGCGUAGAUAUAUGGAAGAACACCAGUGGCGAAGGCGGCUGUCUGGUCUGUAACUGACGCUGAGGCUCGAAAGUAUGGGUAGCAAACAGGAUUAGAUACCCUGGUAGUCCAUACCGUAAACGAUGAAUGCUAAGUGUUGGAGGGUUUCCGCCCUUCAGUGCUGCAGCUAACGCAUUAAGCAUUCCGCCUGGGGAGUACGGCCGCAAGGCUGAAACUCAAAGGAAUUGACGGGGGCCCGCACAAGCGGUGGAGCAUGUGGUUUAAUUCGAAGCUACGCGAAGAACCUUACCAGGUCUUGACAUACUAUGCAAAUCUAAGAGAUUAGACGUUCCCUUCGGGGACAUGGAUACAGGUGGUGCAUGGUUGUCGUCAGCUCGUGUCGUGAGAUGUUGGGUUAAGUCCCGCAACGAGCGCAACCCUUAUUAUCAGUUGCCAGCAUUAAGUUGGGCACUCUGGUGAGACUGCCGGUGACAAACCGGAGGAAGGUGGGGAUGACGUCAAAUCAUCAUGCCCCUUAUGACCUGGGCUACACACGUGCUACAAUGGAUGGUACAACGAGUUGCGAACUCGCGAGAGUAAGCUAAUCUCUUAAAGCCAUUCUCAGUUCGGAUUGUAGGCUGCAACUCGCCUACAUGAAGUCGGAAUCGCUAGUAAUCGCGGAUCAGCAUGCCGCGGUGAAUACGUUCCCGGGCCUUGUACACACCGCCCGUCACACCAUGAGAGU
rnacentral:rRNA from 2 species